GUUAACAGAUACAGAUACAGAUAAUGCUGUACUCGCUCAUCCCUAAAGGAAAUGUAUUGGGAUAAUAUAUGAAUAAUCCACAAAUAAACAAUCUUUGCCAUUCUUGACUCCAUGCAGGUCUCCACCCACAGCAACCAGGAGUUCGGUUUCCUCCAGCAGCUCACCAACAAUAAUGGCAAUCAAGAGGGUUUGCUGGGUGGUUUCUACCUUCAGAUCAGCACCUGGUUCAUUUACACCUCUGCCACGUUCAGACUCUCAGCCCAGAUCAACAAUCCAGCUUCACCAAGCCUGCCAGCACACCAGCAUCCGCUCAGCUCACACCUUCGAAUAAACUACUUAAAAUUGA